rnacentral:lncRNA from 1 species
AUGUUAGGGGGCGGCUCGGGCAGGCCGGCAGCUGGGCGUUGCGGAGCCGUGAGGGGAGCUUGGGCUGCGCCUCGCCUGAGGCAGCGGUCUUCACAGCUGGAGCUACAAGCAAAUCGUGAACCUCAGCAAAGGUCCCUUGACCCAGACAUUUUCUCUGCUGUGUCGUGAGAAUGAACAGUACGUCAAUUAGCAGUUAAAGACAGAAAGAAUCGUGUCCUAGGACAUGUCCAAUGUGGAAGAGCCUCCCUGAGCAGAAUGGUCUCUGGCACUCAUCUCAUUGUCACCAGAAGCUUGCUUUGGAAGAGCUACAACCAUGUGAAGCUGCGCCUUGUUCAGGAGCAAGGUAAGUGACCUGCAGGCACUUAAGAAAUAACGUAAGAUUUUAUAAUAGGCCAUAAAUAAACUGUCUGACAAACAUGCACUAGUGCAAGCAAGCUGCAAGAUUAGAGAAUUAUUGCUUGAGGAAAUCUUUUCUGCGUGAUCUGUUCACUCGGAAUAGAAGCAUUGCUGCAUUGUAUUAGCGUGAAACCUGACUGUAGGUUUCCACUUCAACUUCCUUCGCCAAUAGCAUCCUGACUGUUAUAACCCUGCCUUCCUUAAAGCCACAUACAAAGGUAAAAAAGUAAAAGGAAUUGCACUGUUAUUUGAUCAUAGAGUUGCUUGUGUAGUCAUUCUGAAUAGUUUCAGCAUGCAGACAGAAGUUGCUUCUGCCAUUUAAAUGUGAAUGCAGCUAGAAGUCAUCCUUCCAAUUUCAUGUGCAGUAGUCACUACCUGUGAAAACAACGUUUUCUUUCCCUUUUGCAAGGCACCAGCACCAGCAGUUGGUAUAAACAACAUGGCGUGCUG